rnacentral:rRNA from 1 species
UGGCUCAGGAUGAACGCUGGCGGCGUGCUUAACACAUGCAAGUCGAACGGAGUUUUAGUAAUUGAUUGAUUAAGCUUGCUUUUGAGAGAUUUUAUUAAAACUUAGUGGCGGACGGGUGAGUAACGCGUGGGUAACCUGCCGUAUACAGGGGGACAACAGUUGGAAACGACUGCUAAUACCGCAUAAGCGCACAGCAUCGCAUGAUGCAGUGUGAAAAACUCCGGUGGUAUACGAUGGACCCGCGUCUGAUUAGCUAGUUGGUGAGGUAACGGCCCACCAAGGCGACGAUCAGUAGUCGGCCUGAGAGGGUGAACGGCCACAUUGGGACUGAGACACGGCCCAAACUCCUACGGGAGGCAGCAGUGGGGAAUAUUGGGCAAUGGGGGAAACCCUGACCCAGCAACGCCGCGUGAAGGAAGAAGGCCUUCGGGUUGUAAACUUCUUUUACCAGGGACGAACAAAUGACGGUACCUGGAGAAAAAGCAACGGCUAACUACGUGCCAGCAGCCGCGGUAAUACGUAGGUUGCAAGCGUUGUCCGGAUUUACUGGGUGUAAAGGGCGUGUAGGCGGAGAUGCAAGUUGGGAGUGAAAUCCCGGGGCUCAACCCCGGAACUGCUUUCAAAACUGCAUCCCUUGAGUAUCGGAGAGGCAAGCGGAAUUCCUAGUGUAGCGGUGAAAUGCGUAGAUAUCAGGAGGAACAUCGGUGGCGAAAGCGCUUUACUGGGCCGUUAUUGACGCUGAGGAACGAAAGCCAGGGGAGCAAAUGGGAUUAGAUACCCCAGUAGUCCUGGCCGUAAACGAUGAACACUAGGUGUUGCGGGUAUCGACCCCUGCAGUGCCGCAGCUAACGCGAUAAGUGUUCCGCCUGGGGAGUACGCACGCAAGUGUGAAACUUAAAGGAAUUGACGGGGACCCGCACAAGCGGUGGAACAUGUGGUUUAAUUCGAUGCAACGCGAAGAACCUUACCAGAACUUGACAUCCUAAGAACCCGGUUGUAAUGACUGGGGUGCCUUUCGGGGAACUUAGAGACAGGUGGUGCAUGGUUGUCGUCAGCUCGUGUCGUGAGAUGUUGGGUUAAGUCCCGCAACGAGCGCAACCCUUACCUUUAGUUGCUACGCAAGAGCACUCUGAAGGGACUGCCGUUGACAAAACGGAGGAAGGUGGGGAUGACGUCAAAUCAUCAUGCCCCUUACGUUCUGGGCUACACACGUACUACAAUGGCGCAAACAAAGGGAAGCGAUGCCGCGAGGCGGAGCAAACCCCAUAAAAGGCGUCUCAGUUCAGAUUGCAGGCUGCAACUCGCCUGCAUGAAGCUGGAAUUGCUAGUAAUCGCGGAUCAGCAUGCCGCGGUGAAUACGUUCCCGGGCUUUGCACACACCGCCCGUA